CGCCGUACAUUCGCCCCCGCAACUCCUUCCCCUCAAAGGUAUGAUCAUGCCUUCCGCUAUGGGCAAACUGACGCAGCCGCCGCCUGCGAAAUACGAUCUGGUUCUCGAUUCAAAGGGUGGCUUGAUUCUCAUAGAGGAUGGAGCAAACAAACAAUAGCUGGAUGUAAAUGACACAGAGAUAUAAGAGCAAAUCGAGGCCUGUCCGGAACCGCGAGGAUGCGCUCAUGCCUCAACAUAUAUAUGCUCCGCAACUGCUGGUCGAGUCUUCGUCGUCGUCAUAAUAUAAAGCCGAUCGAGCCAUGGUCUGCUCAAGUGUUCGUCGUUGGCGUCAUUUCUCAAAGUCGCAGAAAUAGCAACCUUGAUACUGGGUCUCGGAUGGUCUGAAGAAACAUGUACAGUAUGUUUCUUCACUAGUACUGGUGAAGAUAUGUUCAGUGGUGAAACAAGAUAAAAUUCAGAAGUGGCUCUCAGUAACAUAUGUUUGGUGUAAAUAUUUUAUGGUCUAUAUGAGGGCCUAGUGUGUAUAUGGUAUGCGUGUGAUGUAGUACGUAUUACCCUAGGUCCUAUACUGUACUACGUAUUGCUUAUGUAAGAAAACCGCGCUUGUUUUGCUUUGUUUAUUCGGUAACCAGAGAUUACA